rnacentral:misc_RNA from 1 species
CUGCCCUCAAGCCCGGCUUGUGUGUUGGGUCGCCGUCCCCUCCUUCCCGGGGGGGACGGGCCCCGAAAGGGCAGCGGCGACUUCGCGUCCGGUCCUCGAGCGUAUGGGGCUUCGUCACUCCGCUCUGGUAGGAACGGCCGACAGUCUGCCGACUCUCCAACCUUCUUUUUUUCCAGG